AGUGAACGCUGGCGGUAGGCCUAACACAUGCAAGUCGAACGGCAGCACAGUAAGAGCUUGCUCUUACGGGUGGCGAGUGGCGGACGGGUGAGGAAUACAUCGGAAUCUACUUUUUCGUGGGGGAUAACGUAGGGAAACUUACGCUAAUACCGCAUACGACCUACGGGUGAAAGCAGGGGAUCUUCGGACCUUGCGCGAUUGAAUGAGCCGAUGUCGGAUUAGCUAGUUGGCGGGGUAAAGGCCCACCAAGGCGACGAUCCGUAGCUGGUCUGAGAGGAUGAUCAGCCAAACUGGAACUGGGACACAGUCCAGACUCCUACGGGAGGCAGCAGUGGGGAAUAUUGGACAAUGGGCGGAAGCCUGAACCAGCCAUACCGCGUGGGUGAAGAAGGCCUUCGGGUUGUAAAGCCCUUUUGUUGGGAAAGAAAAGCAGCAGGUUAAUACCCCGCUGUUCUGACGGUACCCAAAGAAUAAGCACCGGCUAACUUCGUG
rnacentral:rRNA from 1 species